UACAGAGGUCCCGAGCGUUGUUCGGAUUCAUUGGGCGUAAAGGGUGCGUAGGCGGCGGGGAAAGUCUGAUGUGAAAUCCUGGGGCUCAACCCUGGAACUGCAUUGGAUACUUCCUUGCUAGAGUACUGGAGAGGAAACUGGAAUUUACGGUGUAGCAGUGAAAUGCGUAGAGAUCGUAAGGAAGACCAGUGGCGAAGGCGGCCUGCUGGGCUGUUGCUGACGCUGAGGCGCGACAGCGUGGGGAGCAAACAGG
rnacentral:rRNA from 1 species